CUCUAGAGGAUGGGGCUCACAACAGUUCCGGGCGUGAACGGAUAUAAGUCCUGGCCUAUUCCAGUUGUGUGCUAGCGGCAAUGGUCUCACCAGGCACGAUCGGUAAGCGGCCUGGGACGGCGAUCGGCCACACUAGGACUGAGACUCGCCCAGACUCCUACGGAGGCAGCAGUGGGGAAUAUUGCACCAUGGCGAAAGCUUGAUGCAGCGACGCCGCGUGAGGGAUGACGGCUUCGGGUGUAAACCUCUUCAGCAGGGAAGAAGCGAAAGUGACGGUACCUGCAGAAGAAGCGCCGGCUAACUACGUGCCAGCAGCCGCGGUAAUACGUAGGGCGCAAGCGUUGUCCGGAAUUAUUGGGCGUAAAGAGCUCGUAGGCGGUCUGUCGCGUCGGAUGUGAAAGCCCGGGGCUUAACCCCGGGUCUGCAUUCGAUACGGGCAGACUAGAGUGUGGUAGGGGAGAUCGGAAUUCCUGGUGUAGCGGUGAAAUGCGCAGAUAUCAGGAGGAACACCGGUGGCGAAGGCGGAUCUCUGGGCCAUUACUGACGCUGAGGAGCGAAAGCGUGGGGAGCGAACAGGAUUAGAUACCCUGGUAGUCCACGCCGUAAACGGUGGGAACUAGGUGUUGGCGACAUUCCACGUCGUCGGUGCCGCAGCUAACGCAUUAAGUUCCCCGCCUGGGGAGUACGGCCGCAAGGCUAAAACUCAAAGGAAUUGACGGGGGCCCGCACAAGCAGCGGAGCAUGUGGCUUAAUUCGACGCAACGCGAAGAACCUUACCAAGGCUUGACAUACACCGGAAACGGCCAGAGAUGGUCGCCCCCUUGUGGUCGGUGUACAGGUGGUGCAUGGCUGUCGUCAGCUCGUGUCGUGAGAUGUUGGGUUAAGUCCCGCAACGAGCGCAACCCUUGUUCUGUGUUGCCAGCAUGCCCUUCGGGGUGAUGGGGACUCACAGGAGACUGCCGGGGUCAACUCGGAGGAAGGUGGGGACGACGUCAAGUCAUCAUGCCCCUUAUGUCUUGGGCUGCACACGUGCUACAAUGGCAGGUACAAUGAGCUGCGAUGUCGUAAGGCGGAGCGAAUCUCAAAAAGCCUGUCUCAGUUCGGAUUGGGGUCUGCAACUCGACCCCAUGAAGUCGGAGUUGCUAGUAAUCGCAGAUCAGCAUUGCUGCGGUGAAUACGUUCCCGGGCCUUGUACACACCGCCCGUCACGUCACGAAAGUCGGUAACACCCGAAGCCGGUGGCCCAACCCCUUGUGGGAGGGAGCUUCGAAGGUGACUGACUG
rnacentral:rRNA from 1 species